GGAAUAUUGCACAAUGGGCGCAAGCCUGAUGCAGCCAUGCCGCGUGUAUGAAGAAGGCCUUCGGGUUGUAAAGUACUUUCAGUGGGGAGGAAGGCGAUGAGGUUAAUAGCCUCGUCGAUUGACGUUACCCGCAGAAGAAGCACCGGCUAACUCCGUGCCAGCAGCCGCGGUAAUACGGAGGGUGCAAGCGUUAAUCGGAAUUACUGGGCGUAAAGCGCACGCAGGCGGUCUGUCAAGUCGGAUGUGAAAUCCCCGGGCUCAACCUGGGAACUGCAUUCGAAACUGGCAGACUAGAGUCUUGUAGAGGGGGGUAGAAUUCCAGGUGUAGCGGUGAAAUGCGUAGAGAUCUGGAGGAAUACCGGUGGCGAAGGCGGCCCCCUGGACAAAGACUGACGCUCAGGUGCGAAAGCGUGGGGAGCAAACAGGAUUAGAUACCCGAG
rnacentral:rRNA from 1 species